rnacentral:lncRNA from 1 species
CUUUUGUGGUGUUUUCUGCUGCAUCACAUCAACUUGGCCAUGGACUUGCUAUGAGAUCGAGCUCAAAGACAUCCAAAAUCAUUUGAUGUCCAUGUUCGAGUCAUAUUAAACAUCGAGUUCCUGCGUGCCGUUACCAUAGAGUAUCAGUCGCUCGAACUUAUGGGUAACGAGUACACGGUGUGAGAAUAUAUGUUCGAGUGGGUGAUAGGACUGUCAUCGAGUGUCGGGGGAAAAUCAUGGGAUGGUUGUACAUAUAUGUACAUUCCAGCGUGCAUCAAUAAACACUAUGUUACGCUGGAGAUCGUUUUUGCUGACUCGACUAUAUAUGUGUACGACCCAGAUCAUUCAUGUUUGACACAAGGCCAGUUGGAGCAAAGCCUGGAGUCCGUGGCUGUAAUUGUUCCUAUGAUGGCCAGACGAGUGGGGAUAAAUGUACAGGACAGAUUGCGGAUCGUUCGAAACACGACGAUAGCGCGACAGUCCGUAAGGUAAGUGUUUG